rnacentral:rRNA from 1 species
GGAAUCUUCCACAAUGGACGCAAGUCUGAUGGAGCAACGCCGCGUGAGUGAAGAAGGGUUUCGGCUCGUAAAGCUCUGUUGUUAAAGAAGAACGUGGGUAAGAGUAACUGUUUACCCAGUGACGGUAUUUAACCAGAAAGCCACGGCUAACUACGUGCAG